UACGUAGGGUCCGAGCGUUGUCCGGAAUUAUUGGGCGUAAAGGGCUCGUAGGCGGUUUGUCGCGUCGGGAGUGAAAACACGGGGCUUAACCCCGUGCCUGCUUCCGAUACGGGCAGACUAGAGGUAUGCAGGGGAGAACGGAAUUCCUGGUGUAGCGGUGAAAUGCGCAGAUAUCAGGAGGAACACCGGUGGCGAAGGCGGUUCUCUGGGCAUUACCUGACGCUGAGGAGCGAAAGCCAGGGGAGCGAACGGG
rnacentral:rRNA from 1 species